rnacentral:tRNA from 1 species
AUGUGGCUCAAGUGGAAAGACGCUCGCCUAGCAUGCGUGAGUCACUGGGUUCGAUUCUCAGCACCACAUA